CCAGGUUCCUCUGCGCUCCGGAAAGCUGCGGCCCAGCGCGGACUAGUGAGGACCUCCACAGCUCCUGACAUUGCUAGGCGUGCUGUCGGCGUUUUCUCCCAGGCUCCGCCAUGCCGGCGGUGCUGGGUUUUGAAGGCAGCGCCAAUAAGAUUGGCGUGGGUGUGGUGCGGGAUGGCAAGGUGCUGGCGAACCCGCGGCGGACUUAUGUCACACCUCCGGGCACAGGAUUCCUUCCAGGUGAUACAGCCAGGCAUCACCGAGCUGUUAUCCUAGAUCUGCUGCAGGAGGCACUAACAGAGUCUGGAUUAACCUCCCAGGAUAUCGAUUGCAUUGCGUACACCAAGGGCCCUGGCAUGGGUGCCCCACUGGUUUCUGUGGCUGUUGUGGCCCGUACUGUGGCCCAGCUAUGGAAUAAGCCGUUGAUGGGUGUGAACCACUGUAUAGGCCACAUUGAGAUGGGCCGCCUCAUCACUGGAGCCACCAGCCCAACCGUGUUGUAUGUGAGUGGAGGAAACACGCAGGUGCGUGUAACCCUGGCAACUCCAGAGGCCGAGGCAGGAGAAUCACUUGAACCCAGGAGGCGGAGGUUGCGGUGAACUGAGAUCGCACCAUUGCACUCCAGCCUGGGCAACAAGAGCAAAACUCUGUCUCAAAAAAAAAAAAACAAACAAAAAACAAAAAAAAACAACUAAAGGACGCGACCUGAUUUCUUAUUUUAGGGUGAUUGCAUACUCGGAACAUCGUUACCGUAUCUUUGGGGAAACC
rnacentral:sRNA from 1 species